rnacentral:rRNA from 1 species
AUUGAACGCUGGCGGCAUGCUUUACACAUGCAAGUCGAACGGCAGCGCGGGCUUCGGCCUGGCGGCGAGUGGCGAACGGGUGAGUAAUACAUCGGAACGUGCCCAGUAGUGGGGGAUAGCUCGGCGAAAGCCGGAUUAAUACCGCAUACGACCUGAGGGGGAAAGCGGGGGAUCUUCGGACCUCGCGCUAUUGGAGCGGCCGAUGGCCGAUUAGCUAGUUGGUGGGGUAAAGGCCUACCAAGGCGACGAUCUGUAGCUGGUCUGAGAGGACGACCAGCCACACUGGGACUGAGACACGGCCCAGACUCCUACGGGAGGCAGCAGUGGGGAAUUUUGGACAAUGGGCGAAAGCCUGAUCCAGCAAUGCCGCGUGUGUGAUGAAGGCCUUCGGGUUGUAAAGCACUUUUGGCGGGAACGAAAAGGACUGUGCCAAUACCACGGUUCGAUGACGGUACCCGCAGAAUAAGCACCGGCUAACUACGUG